rnacentral:rRNA from 1 species
GACGUAGGGCGCGAGCGUUGUCCGGAUUUAUUGGGCGUAAAGAGCUCGUAGGCGGCUUGUUGCGUCGACUGUGAAAACCCGCGGCUUAACUGCGGGCUUGCAGUUGAUACGGGCAGGCUAGAGUUCGGUAGGGGAGACUGGAAUUCCUGGUGUAGCGGUGAAAUGCGCAGAUAUCAGGAGGAACACCGGUAGCGAAGGCGGGUCUCUGGGCCGAUACUGACGCUGAGGAGCGAAAGCGUGGGGAGCGAACAGG